UGGAGCCUAGAGACCCUGCACCUGGGGCAAUUUCAAGCAUUCUGUCUGGAGUUGUCAGUGUCAAUGGUCCCUUGACAGUCAUGCAAGCCCUGCACUUUGGUGGUUCAUUCUUCAUGCAGGUCGCCUUCAGAGUCCGCUCUGGGUUUCCAUCUUCUCCUGCGCACAACCCUGCCACCUGUGUACACAGAGACACACACAACACCAACCAUUGCCUCCUUCUUCUUCACACGUGCUCCAGGGAUUCUCCCAUCUCCUAAUUGCAUGCACCUCCAAUUUGGACACCGGGAGAAACACGUUACAACAUAUAUCUGUACGUACAUUUUCACGGCGAUUUAUCGCUUACCUAUGCCAGGAUUUGAACGUUGCACCUCCGAACGCCAAGGUUUGCUCUCUCCAUCACUCUGAGCCACCGUGUCCUCGCUUAGAAGCAAUGUGCUCUGUGUGGUGUAGUGAGAGGCGCCAGAGGCAUCGUCAUUUAUAAUUUAUCCAGAAAAAGCAUUGUGGGGUUUGAACGCCGGAAACCAGCGCCCAGAGGCAGUGUUAUAAUCCUCCACACGACAAGGGUUUAGUGGGCAUAAAUAAUGUUUUGGUUAUUAAAUCAUUUUAAUUAGAACAUAAUUUCACACGUAUUAUUUACAUUAUUAAAAAAAUAUAUAUACAAAGUUUCCUUCAUGUGUGUGUAUGAUUUAAAUUAGCAAAAAAUAUAUAAAGUGAAAAUCUUCGAUUUGAAUUUCAGUACCCCAUGACUCAGAGCACUCAAGUGCCUCCCCAAUCAGCCACUGUGUGUCCACCGACGGCACAGAACCCGAUUUGGUAUCGUUGCUGUGCCUGCACGGCAUGUGGCUGUAAAAAAUUUUUGGGAGCAAUUAACAUCCAUCACUUAAAAGGAAUGUCAUAGCACGCGUGACGUGCGUUGAUGUCAUCACACAGAAGCAACGUAAUGACCGUCUAUCGUCAAGCAACAUAUACAUAACCUAGUAAAAUACUUAAUUAGUGCUGGGUAUCGAACUCAGGUCACCUGCGUCAAAGGCAGCCGUGCUAUCCACUAUGCCACAAGGGAUUUGUGGCAGGCAUAAAUGUUCUAGUUAUUAAAUCAUUGUGAUUUUCAUGCCCUUUAAAUACAUGCGAUAAAUGUAGUUACCCUGUGGGGGUCCAGUUAACGUGUGCACGUUCAUGUAGUUGGGGGGCGUACGUAAAUGACGUCACGCGAUUUUUGACGAUUUUUGACCCCCCCCCCCUCGUCACCCGGCAUCACAAAA